rnacentral:tRNA from 1 species
GAAACUUAGGAUGACCUAAACCGAAG